rnacentral:rRNA from 1 species
GAUGAACGCUGGCGGCGUGCCUAAUACAUGCAAGUCGAGCGAACGGACGAGAAGCUUGCUUCUCUGAUUUUAGCGGCGGACGGGUGAGUAACACGUGGAUAACCUACCUAUAAGACUGGUAUAACUUCGGGAAACCGGAUCUAAUACCGGAUAAUAUUUUGAACCGCAUGGUUCAAAAGUGAAAGACGGUCUUGCUGUCACUUAUAGAUGGAUCCGCGCUGCAUUAGCUAGUUGGUAAGGUAACGGCUUACCAAGGCAACGAUGCAUAGCCGACCUGAGAGGGUGAUCGGACACACGGGAACUGAGACACGGUCCAGACUCCUACGGGAGGCAGCAGUAGGGAAUCUUCCGCAAUGGGCGAAAGCCUGACGGAGCAACACCGCGUGAGUGAUGAAGGUCUUCGGAUCGUAAAACUCUGUUAUUAGUGAAGAACAUAUGUGUAAGUAACUGUGAACAUCUUGACGGUACCUAAUCAGAAAGCCACGGCUAACUACGUG